rnacentral:snRNA from 1 species
AUCUCUUCUUGGCCUUUUGGCUAAGAUCGAGUGUCGUGUCUCUUCGUAUCAGUGUAAUAGCUGAUACAUCCUCUAUCUGGGAACAAUAGAAGAUACUUAAUAAAAGCUUGUUGAUUGAUGGAUUCAUAUCAGAAGACUCUUU